rnacentral:rRNA from 1 species
GACGAACGCUGGCGGCGUGCUUAACACAUGCAAGUCGAACGGAAAGGCCCUUCGGGGUGCUCGAGUGGCGAACGGGCGAGUAACACGUGGGUGAUCUGCCCUGCACUUUGGGAUAAGCCUGGGAAACUGGGUCUAAUACCGAAUAUGAUCAUCGGAUGCAUGGUCGGUGGAGGAAAGUUGUUGCGGUGUGGGAUGGGCCCGCGGCCUAUCAGCUUGUUGGUGGGGUAAUGGCCUACCAAGGCGACGACGGGUAGCCGGCCUGAGAGGGUGACCGGCCACACUGGGACUGAGAUACGGCCCAGACUCCUACGGGAGGCAGCAGUGGGGAAUAUUGCACAAUGGGCGCAAGCCUGAUGCAGCGACGCCGCGUGAGGUAUGACGGCCUUCGGGUUGUAAACCUCUUUCAGCACAGACGAAGCGCAAGUGACGAUAUGUGCAGAAGAAGGACCGGCCAACUACGUGCCAGCCGCCGCAGUAACAC